rnacentral:sRNA from 1 species
GCUGCGAUUCAUGGGGUCGCAAAGAGUCGGACACGACUGAGCGACUGAUCUGAUCUGAUCUGAUCUGAUCCCGUGCCGAUCGGGUGUCCGCACUAAGUUCGGCAUCAAUAUGGUGACCUCCCGGGAGCGGGGGGCCACCAGGUUGCCUAAGGAGGGGUGAACCGGCCCAGGUCGGAAACGGAGUAGGUCAAAACUCCAGGGCUGCUUGCUGACCUGCCCAGGGGGCAGGAGACCAGGCCAGAGGGUCCA